UACGAAGGGGGCGAGCGUUGUUCGGAUUUACUGGGCGUAAAGGGCGCGCAGGCGGCUCAUUUUGUCAGGCGUGAAAGCCCCGGGCUUAACCUGGGAACUGCGUUUGAUACGGAUGGGCUAGAGUUCGGGAGAGGAGAGUGGAAUUCCCAGUGUAGAGGUGAAAUUCGUAGAUAUUGGGAAGAACACCGGUGGCGAAGGCGGCUCACUGGCUCAUUACUGACGCUCAGGCGCGACAGCGUGGGGAUCAAACAGG
rnacentral:rRNA from 1 species